rnacentral:rRNA from 1 species
UACGUAGGGUGCAAGCGUUAAUCGGAAUUACUGGGCGUAAAGCGUGCGCAGGCGGUUCCGCAAGUCAGAUGUGAAAUCCCCGGGCUCAACUUGGGAACUGCAUUUGAAACUACGGGGCUAGAGUGUGUCAGAGGGGGGUGGGAAUUCCACGUGUAGCAGUGAAAUGCGUAGAGAUGUGGAGGAACACCAAUGGCGAAGGCAGCCCCCCUGGGAUGACACUGACGCUCAUGCACGAAAGCGUGGGGAGCAAACAGG